GCGGUCGCCUCCCAAAAGGUAACGGAGGCGCUCAAAGGUUCUCUCAGUACGGUCGGAAAUCGUACGUAGAGUGUAAAGGCAAAAGAGAGCUUGAUUGCAAGACAUACAGGUCGAGCAAGGAUGAAAAUCGGACUUAGUGAUCCGGUGGUUCUGCGUGGAAGGGCCAUCGCUCAACGGAUAAAAGCUACCCUGGGGAUAACCGGCUUAUCUCCCCCAAGAGUCCACAUCGACGGGGAGGUUUGGCACCUCGAUGUCGGCUCAUCACAUCCUGGGGCUGUAGUAGGUCCCAAGGGUUGGGCUGUUCGCCCAUUAAAGUGGUACGCGAGCUGGGUUCAGAACGUCG
rnacentral:rRNA from 1 species